GGUACUCAGCCUUUUUUACAUCUCUUUUCUAACAGACUCUGCAGCUACAGCUCCAAGACCCAUGUCAUCUUAUAUCAGUGACUUCCUGCCAGAAGCACAAAGAGGAAGGAAGGUGAGGAUGCCAGAACAGCCAGAUUCCUUUUGUGCACAGCCUGAACCUUUCCUGCCACCCCAGGGAUUUGGGACUCUGAGAAGCACUGAGGGCCAGUGAGCGCUUAACCUUGCAGCUGCUCAGGGUGCAGCCUCCGGCUGUGCUCCCUACUUCCUUCUGGAUCUGGAGCUGGGGGUGAACAAAUGUGCCAAGAACUGCAGUACACUCUGGGACUCAGAGCAUGAUUGGACCAGAGGAAAGUCCGGGAACUCGGCGUUCUGCAGUGUCUUUAAGGUUAGACAAACAGAACACUGGAAGUGAGCUGGGACUCGAGACAGAAGCACCACAGGUCAAGUGAACCUAACUCACCAUAGGGCUCUGCACAUUGCUUUUGAAAGUCAAAAAGAAAAGUAGGCAGCACGCUAGGCACUUACUAGGCCCUCAACCUAUAGAGGGGCCGGCAGAAGUAAUGCCUGCUUGAGUGUGGUUGACAGGGUAAUAAUAUGGGUAUAAUACUUUUAGUUUUAAUGUGAACAUUUCACCUAAAAUAUCAUAUGGUGUGGCUGAGUGUGAUAUUGUUAAAUUGCAGAAUUACAUGCUGUUAUUAUGCAACAAAAGAUUUUGUAAUAAAAAAAGCACAGGGUCCAUCGUUAUUUGUGCCAGACCCUAUACUUUGUGAUUUACUAAUAACUACUAUUGGUCAGGUGCAUAAUCAAGUCAAGAUCAAUAGUUAAGCAACUGAGUAGAAAUAACAGCCAGGAGAGUGAGAGGGCUGUGUGUUUUUAUCGCCUGCAGGAAGCUGAAGGCCUGUGGUAGGCUGGGAGAGAAAUCUGGCUUAAAAGCAAAUACCCUCUCUAAAAGGCAUCACAAAAAUUUGUUCUGAUCAGCCUUAAAUUUGUAAAGUGCUGAUUCUCGAUUCUGUUGAAGAGUUAAUUUGAUGGCGGGGGGGGGGGGGGGGAAGGGGAGUGGCAUUCAUUACCUAGAAAGAAGCAGGAGGAAGGGUUUGAGACACUCAGGGCAAACUCUGCCUACUACCUGCAUUUGCAGAGUAGCCCUUGGUUUGUUCUAACUCUCGCUGAGCCGUGCGCCCAGAAAACUGCCUCACUUUCCCAAGUCUAAUCUGUUAAAUAGGCAGGGUGGUGCCACUCUGGUCACCAAACCUGGAUGACAGGACUGAUGGCCUGGCUCUGCCAACUCUUCAGUUGAAAGCAUUUUUUUUAUCACUGGAGGAAUUACUUAAUGCACAGUAAGACUUAGGACACAAUUAAUUAAAAUAACACUUAACAAUAUUUGAGAGCAUGUGUAGAAUAUUAUACCUUUGAAAAAAGACAAAAGACAAUAUAGUAAGUUGAUGUCCGGAACUUUUUAAAAAGAAAAACCUCCCCUAAGGGGCUCAGUAAACACUUAGUCAGUAUUACCCAGUGACCAUGGAUGAACCUGCCAGUGUUUAAAACAGAAACAGAUAAAGUUUAAGGACAGUGACCCAUUUUCUCUGCAUUCGACACAUAAAAUCCAACAUUCUUAUUGAGUUCUAAUCGCUGGGUGAUCCUGAAAUGCAUGAAUAUGUUAAAUGCUGCUUCCCCUUUCUCCCCAGAGAGUCUAAAAACUUAGGUAUGACAUGUUUAAAUAGAAAGAUGGGUUCAUCUACAGAGAUAAAGCUUAGAUUCUAAAGCAGUUAUGCAGUUUCCCCAACAUUUUAGAGGCUCUCAUGUUCACGUCCAACAAAUAAUAAAUUAGCUGAAGGUUGGUUUUCAUCCCAUGCAUUAAAAAUAGGUCCUGUGGAGCAUCUUGGGAGUCUGUUUGGAUUUACGUGGUCACGUGUCACCAAGGCUAUUCAUGACCUUCCUCCCAUGUCCAGUGUCAUCAUCUUUGCCCUUUAUCAUGACCCCCUUCUGACUACCCUGGUCCUCAGCUCCUAUCCGGUCGAAAUGGAAGAGGGCACACUAGGGGGUGUUUGGAGGAGUGGCAGACAGGACUAAUAAGCACAUACAGUAUUUGUUUCAUUAGGACAUGGCAAAGCAGAUAGGAGGCUUUCAAAAUAGAGUAGAGUUAUAUUUUAUUGAGUAAACUAACAAAUAAAUGAAUGAGUAAGUGCCUAUAGGGACUAAACAAUGGACAUAUUUUAUGUAGUUCUGCAAUCUACUUCUACAGACAUUAAAAAAAAUUCCCCAAAAGACCAUAGUGAUGGAAGAAGUUCAGGAUCGUCUGUCAUCCCAGGGCAACUAUGGUCAAGGUCUGUCUUACUCACAACUGUGGGGAAACAACAGCAGCAGCAGCAGCAACAAAGCAACAACUUAUAUAAAAGUUUAUUGAAUAAAAGCAUGACUAUCUCCUGUGCUCAGCAUUGGAAGGCUCAUUAAAAUUGUCUAAUCAAGUGGUUUUCAAACUGUAAGUGAGUUAGGAAAUCAGUUCGACUGUCCUUUUGAAAUCUGUAUUGUAGUUACAUAUGCACAUUAUUUAUAUGUGAUAUUUACAUGUUCUUAUGUAUAAUAACUGAAACAAAAAUAUUACACACUUCUGUAAUAUGUGUGUGUAACUUGAUGACUCAGGCUAUAGAUGAAAGGCAAAAUAUCAGAUAAGUAACAACAAGCACUGGAUUAUUCACACCACUUACAUGCCUCUACAGUUUACCUCUGAAAUGGUCAGCCUGAUUUUACUUGAAUAUUCCCAUUGCUUAUUGACUCUUCGGAUAAAUGCCUUGAACUGUACUGAGUCAAA